rnacentral:lncRNA from 1 species
UUUGGCACUUAAAUAUUUUUCCAUAAGUAUACUAGACUAGACAUUGUAUUUUUCAGAUACAGCUCAGUUCCAUCACCACCAUUUUGGGAUGAUGUGAGGCAUAUUUGAUGCUAUCUUCGCAUAACCCCAUAUACGAGCAUAUUCUUUUCAAGUAAACUUACAAAUAGCCCUUAUUUUGUGGGAUAAGCGGACUCUGGAAAUUUCUAUGGUCGCUGACUGGAAAAAGCUAGUCAUGAAGGUUUCAAGGGGAGAUAUUCUUCAGGGAGAGCAUCCAACAAUAUUACAAGAUUGACUCACAGAAGCAGUGUCAACUAUGAUAUUCAGAAAGAUGAUCAACAUUAUGGCUUACAGAUAUUUUUCCAAGCAUCAGGGGGAGCGUGCUAUCAAUAAAGACAUUCACACACUGUACUCUUUGUCCUUCAUCCAGGUUUUUAUCCCACUGGAUUUUUCCUGGCAAGGUUUUAACGAGGCAGUGUCACACGCAAUAUACACAGAAUUUUAUGUUACACAUGGUUAUGUACUCUUUUUCCCUUCAACCAGUUUUUUGUCCUACUGGGUUUUUACUGGCAAGGUUUUUAACGAGGCAUAUUCCAUACAUGAUGGUCUCCAAGGAGGAGUGUUAUAAAAUGAUGAAAG